GCCCAGUUUAGAGCAUGGGUCUGUCCAGCCUAGUUUAGACCUGGGUCUGUCCAGCCCAGUUCAGAGCCUGGGUCAGAGCC